CUGCCCGGUGCUCGAAGGUUAAUUGAUGGGGUUAGCAUUAGCGAAGCUCUUGAUCGAAGCCCGAGUAAACGGCGGCCGUAACUAUAACGGUCCUAAGGUAGCGAAAUUCCUUGUCGGUUAAAUACCGACCUGCAUGAAUGGCGUAACGAGAUGGGAGCUGUCUCAAAGAGGGAUCCAGUGAAAUUGUAGUGGAGGUGAAAAUUCCUCCUACCCGCGGCAAGACGGAAAGACCCCGUGGACCUUUACUACAGCUUGACACUGCUAUUUGGAUAAGAAUGUGCAGGAUAGGUGGGAGGCUUUGAGUAUAUGACGCCAGUUGUAUAGGAGCCAUUGUUGAGAUACCACUCUUUCUUAUUUGGGUAGCUAACCAGCUUGAGUUAUCCUCAAGUGGGACAAUGUCUGGUGGGUAGUUUGACUGGGGCGGUCGCCUCCCAAAUAAUAACGGAGGCUUACAAAGGUUGGCU
rnacentral:rRNA from 1 species